rnacentral:rRNA from 1 species
AUUCCCCUAGUAGCGGCGAGCGAAGCGGGAAGAGCUCAAAUUUAUAAUCUGGCACCUUCGGUGUCCGAGUUGUAAUCUCUAGAAAUGUUUUCCGCGUUGGACCGCACACAAGUCUGUUGGAAUACAGCGGCAUAGUGGUGAGACCCCCGUAUAUGGUGCGGACGCCCAGCGCUUUGUGAUACAUUUUCGAAGAGUCGAGUUGUUUGGGAAUGCAGCUCAAAUUGGGUGGUAAAUUCCAUCUAAAGCUAAAUAUUGGCGAGAGACCGAUAGCGAACAAGUACCGUGAGGGAAAGAUGAAAAGCACUUUGGAAAGAGAGUUAACAGUACGUGAAAUUGUUGGAAGGGAAACGCUUGAAGUCAGACUUGCUUGCUGAGCAAUCGGUUUGCAGGCCAGCAUCAGUUUUCCGGGAUGGAUAAUGGUAGAGAGAAGGUAGCAGUUUCGGCUGUGUUAUAGCUCUCUGCUGGAUACAUCUUGGGGGACUGAGGAACGCAGUGUGCCUUUGGCGGGGGUUUCGACCUCUUCACACUUAGGAUGCUGGUG